AUUGAACGCUGGCGGCAGGCCUAACACAUGCAAGUCGAGCGGAGGAAGGGAGCUUGCUCCUGGAUUCAGCGGCGGACGGGUGAGUAAUGCCUAGGAAUCUGCCUGGUAGUGGGGGAUAACGUCCGGAAACGGGCGCUAAUACCGCAUACGUCCUGAGGGAGAAAGUGGGGGAUCUUCGGACCUCACGCUAUCAGAUGAGCCUAGGUCGGAUUAGCUAGUUGGUGGGGUAAAGGCCUACCAAGGCGACGAUCCGUAACUGGUCUGGGAGGAUGAUCAGUCACACUUGAACUGAGACACGGUCCAGACUCCUACGGGAGGCGGGAGGGGGGAAUUUUGGACAAUGGGCGAAAGCCUGAACCAGCCAUGCCGCGGGUGGGAAGAAGGUCUUCGGAUUGUAAAGCACUUUAAGUUGGGAGGAAGGGCAGUAAGUUAAUACCUUGCUGUUUUGACGUUACCAACAGAAUAAGCACCGGCUAACUUCGUG
rnacentral:rRNA from 1 species